UCAAUUCAGAACUGCAGAUAGUAUAGCGUGCAGAGCAGCAAUGGGAUGUCUGAGCGCAAGUGGCUGACUUCCAGGCGACUUCAGGAAGCACAUUUGUACAUUACUCCUGAAUUAAACUGGGAUUCUGCACCUUUGACAUCCUCCAACCCUCCGUGUCUCUGCAGGAGUCAGUGACCUGCACAGCACAACAAAACUACAAAUGAACCACAAAGCUGCAGACCAGCAAGUGAAGUGAACUGAGGGCAGUUUGACCAUCAUCUGUGUCGAUUCCCCAGAAGUUGAUGAAACAUGUUGUCGAGUCUCAAAGGUACAUCCCAGAGAUUAGUUGGCUGUGCCAUACAAUUAGUAAAUGCUUAAAACAAGAUGUUUGCUUUGAUUACAUUAAGAUACUUGCAGCAGUGAGCGCUAUUACCUUCUAAAGAAGAGAGUACCUUCCCAAAUAUAUUGUUCGUUAGCACUUCAAUAACAACAUGCCACCUCAGCCACAUGGUCCAGGAGCACAGUGGUCUCCAGUACAAGGAAGAGAUCAUUAUAAAACUCCACCUGGCUCAUUUGGGCAAAUCAAAUAAGCAUCCAGGUGCCAGCUGGUGUAAAUGCAGAUGCCACUGACGUCAAUGGAGCCAUAUCAGUUUACACCAUUUGACAAUCUGAUUCCAAGUGUGUCAGUGGCAUUUUUAGACACUGCCACUGGAAUUCAUUUUUACAACACAAUUAAAAUACAUCCACACGUUGCAUUUCUUCCUGUCCCUAAGUAUGGAACUGGAGGCCUGUUGACAAACCGUGGGAGAGGGCAAGCGGGAGGUGGAAGUAACCAAGAACUGUAUCCAUGAGAUAACCUUGCAAUAUGAGUAUUAACAGUAUUGUUCUGUUGUCUUCCUUUUAUACAAAAGAAUAUUGGCCUUCAAAAAGUCUUAGCUCCAACUUCCAGUAAGAAUUCAAUGCCAACAAAAAAGAUGCUGUAAACCAUGCAAAGUAUCUACCAUACAUGUUAACAUACUAUUUUAAUCAGCAUACAGUAUAUUCAGACUGUUUUAAUGCAUCAUUAGGGAAAUUAUCUAAAAUAAUAAGAAACCAACCCCCAAACUAAAGUUCUUAAGUAUUUGUUCCUGCACAAUCUAACUGCUGUACAAGCAGUAAUAGACUUAAAAGUACUAAAACAGUUGUUUGAAGUAGCCUGCCAGCCAGAGGUUUAUGACAUCUCCAUUUAUAUUUCAUCAAGCAUUUAUGUGGGGGAGGGAGAAGGAAGAAAGGAAGACAUGGGCAAAUUAGUAGGGCAGAGUAGUACUUCACAACUCCAGUCACCAUUUCUAAAUAGGGAGAGGGAGGUUUUAUUAUUAUUUUAUGUAAGGCAGCUGUAAAAUAAAUUGUACUGCGUAACAGUUGUCAGUAUUAAUAAAUACAAUGAAGCUGAAUAUUAGUCUUUUGAUUCAAGAUACCAAGGACAAAUCAAAAAGCUAAAUAAUUAGAACCUGAGAUGUAGUUCAGAUAGCACUGAAGCAAUUGUGCAGCGCAACACCCAUAUCUUCAAUUUAGGUCAUGUCAUCAAGAGGAGGAAAAGGACUGAAGACUAAAGAUGAGAUGCUCUACUUCACACAGUUGCCCUCUGGAAGGACUGGAAAAGGCAGUCACUUAGAUUAAGUACAGGUCAUUGGACAAGAUAUCUAAUCUAUUCCUAAGACAGGCAGCUCUGGCAGUCCAAAUCCCUAUGGCCUUUACAGCAACACAAUGAACUACUUCCUCAUGUACCUCUGUCAAUUCAAGUUAGGUUCCAGUUUUUUUAAAGCAAUAUUUCAUGUACACCAUCACCCUAUUGCUCAUAGCAAGGAAAGUGCUUUGGUUUAUUUAUGACCUACUAACCUUAAAUAAAAAAUACAACAAACAUAUCUAAUCUGAAUGUUCACAUAAGCCUGGAGACCUGAAAUAAAAUUUAAAAUAAAGCUGGCACUUGUAAGAACUAGCUAAGCCCGGCAAAGGAUUUUAAAAUACAUGAAAACCAGACGAGAAAAGAUGAAAGAAUUUUUACCCUGUAUAACCUGCACACAUCAGGAAUCAGGGCUGGAGCUCAAAAAUACCUUUUAUUUUUUCACUUACAGGUUUCAGCCUGUUACAACAGAGGCUAGGUAACCAAGGAAAAACUGAGAUUUUUGCAUUGGGGUGUGGGGAAGGAAUAGUAACAACCUAUGAAAAUAACUCUUUCUAAAAUGUAAUCCACCAAGCUGCAAGCUUUACACAGCUCCUCUUAUCCUACAACCUCACUGCCAGGUAACAGCCAGGUAAUACCCCAUAUUGAAAUAUGAAGUGACAGAUGAAAGCAGGGAAUAAGAGUAUGGGAGAAAGUACUGAAAUAAAUUACAUACAGAAAGAAGCUUAUAGGGGCGGAUGUGCAACCCUCAACCAUAAAGUCUAUACAUUUGGCUAAACCAAUGACAAGCAGAUGUAAAUGCACAAAAGGCAAGUGAGUUGAAGAGCCUUAUACUCUCAUCACUCAUGCUGGUGUAAGGCACUCCUUUUACAACAUACAUGGAAUUUAACUGUGGAAAAGCAGUAUAAAACAAGGGUAAAAAAAGGAAUUGACUGCCAUAUUUAAUUAAAACUCAGAAUAUUUAUAAUCACACUGGCUUUCCUAAACAAACCAAACCUAAUCUACCAUAAAGAAAAUUAGUUGCUUCUGUUCUUUUCUAGUUCUCCAACAGGCUAUAUUACUGUCCUUUACAUGUAUUUGAUAGAAAAUACAGUUAAAUUAUAUAACAAAUACCUCUACAUGCAGAGCAUUUAGUUGAAAGAAACAACUAGAAUAAAGUCCUUGUCAUGUUGUUUGUUUACAAAAUAUAGGCACUACACUCAUGACCUGCAGUCUUUUGGUGCUGGUUUCCUUUACACAAGCACAAACAAUUUUAACCAAAAAGCCCCUACAAUCAUUAGGAUUUUUUAAAUAAUCACACAUGUAUAAGAAAGAGUAUAAGAAAUCUUUUACCAAAUGACAAGGCAAAAACCUGAUAAAAGCCAAUGAACCAGUCAGAAUUUCAGUGCAACAAGCUAAGAGUGGACCCAGCAAAAAAGAACUCUGACCAGCUGAGCUGCAAGACCACCUUCUGUAGGACAACUCUGCUCACAAACACCAAUAAGAAAGAAGUUUGGAAAAGUGCCAGCUCCUUGCACAAAGACUGAAAUAAGAUGGGCAGAGAUGGGUGUUGACAUUUGAGGAUGCUGUCAAGUCAAUGGAGUUCUGUUGUAGUGGUUGCUUCAGUGAACAUUCAACGCUGUCGGCCUUAACACCGAAGAUAGCAACCUAACCACCACAUGAUGUUUCUCCCCCACUCUGCCAAGCUUCACAAAAAAAGGUCACAAUCAACAUUCAUUGCUGUCGGUGGGUUUAACUAUGUGGACAAGCUCACUGAACAAUGAAUGCAACUGUGGCCCCACAUGUUACAGUUGCCGUUGAGAUGAACAGCAGCUCUGAAAGCAGUAGUGAGAAGCAAAUACUUCCUAGAGGCAACAUUUUUCGGGUAAAAAAAAUAGUUGAGGAUAUUCACUUUUUGCUUGCUUGUUUUUAAAUGUGUUUAACUUAGCUGACUAGAAAAAAAAAAAUCCAUGCCUUCUGGAAUAUUGUCCUACCAGGGUUCAGCCACAUUGAAACCAUAAAAAGUCUUAUUUAGUAUGUGGAAAUAAAUAAUAUAGGGAACUUCAUGUAUAUCCGCUUCUAAGGACUCUGAGCAUAAGAGAAAAUAAUAUUUAAAUCUCAUUUUAAGUAGGCCUUGUGGAGCAGUUCAAGAGUUUCUUCUAUACUUGUUAUGACAAACAGAAGUGGGAGACAGAGCUCAAAGAUAAGAAUAAAAUGCUAUAUCAGACAUUAAUUCAUUUGAUGUGAAACUGAGUUUAAGCACCUAAAGAAAUACUAUUAGACAGUACAUGCUAUUACAUUGGCUUUUAAGGAUCUUACAGAUGACAGAGAAAUGUAUAUCCAGAAAAACUAACAGUAGCUAAAUGUAAAAUUACUGUAAACUUUGGAUACCUAUGUCACAAUCUCGGUAUUGCUGAUAGUAAUAAGUAAA